rnacentral:rRNA from 1 species
UACGGAGGUGGCAAGCGUUGCUCGGAAUCACUGGGCGUAAAGGGCGCGUAGGCGGGGAGGUAAGUCGGGUGUGAAAUCCCUCGGCCCAACUGAGGAACUGCGCCCGAGACUGCUUCUCUUGAGUCCCGGAGAGGAAGAUGGAAUUCCCGGUGUAGCGGUGAAAUGCGCAGAUAUCAGGAGGAACACCGGUGGCGAAGGCGGAUCUCUGGGCCUUACCUGACGCUCAGGUGCGAAAGCUAGGGGAGCGAACAGG